AACGAACGCUGGCGGCGCGCCUAAUACAUGCAAGUCGAGCGAGAAGGUGUAGCAAUACACUUGUAAAGCGGCGAACGGGUGAGGAAUACAUGGGUAACCUACCCUCGAGUGGGGAAUAACUAGCCGAAAGGUUAGCUAAUACCGCAUACGAUUCCAGGACUUCGGUGCUGGAAGGAAAGCACUACCGUGGGUAGUGCGCUCCUGGAUGGGCUCAUGUCCUAUCAGCUUGUUGGUGAGGUAAUGGCUCACCAAGGCUUCGACGGGUAGCUGGUCUGAGAGGACGAUCAGCCACACUGGCACUGCGACACGGGCCAGACUCCUACGGGAGGCAGCAGUAAGGAAUAUUGGUCAAUGGACGCAAGUCUGAACCAGCCAUGCCGCGUGGAGGAUGAAGGCCCUCUGGGUUGUAAACUUCUUUUAUCUGGGAAGAAAUGCCUGUUUUUGAACGGGUUUGACGGUACCAGAGGAAUAAGCACCGGCUAACUCCGUGCCAGCCGCCGCUGU
rnacentral:rRNA from 1 species